ensembl:lncRNA
GUCUCUUUCUUAUGUCUGGUCUUCACAAGAUAAGGUCACGGGUUGUUUUAUACGAGUAUCUUUCAUUUAUUUGCACCGUAAACUCAGUCCUUUGUCUGGACAAUUGUUCCUUUAUGAUCUAGUCAGGUCAUUACAACAGUAAAAUGCUCUAAACACACUUUGCUGUCCUGUUUUCCAAUCGUCCACAUGGCUGGGAGAACCUAUUCAAAGAGCUGUGAAAUCCUGUCUACUCAAAGGGGUGCACGUUUUUGCACUGCACAGCUGACACAAAUGAUCAACUCAUCAAGCUUCAAGUGGUAAUUAUGUAUUAAUUUGUGAUGCUGUCCUUGAUAUAGGCGGCAGGAUAGCCUAGUGGUUAGAGUGUAGAGGAGGUAGGUAGCCUAGUGGUUAGAGUGUAGAGGAGGCAGGUAGUCUAGUGGUUAGAGUGUAGAGGAGGCAGGUAGUCUAGUGGUUAGAGUGUAGAGGAGGCAGGUAGCCUAGUGGUUAGAGUGUAGAGGAGGCAGGUAGCCUAGUGGUUAGAGUGUAGAGGAGGCAGGUAGUCUAGUGGUUAGAGUGUAGAGGAGGCAGGUAGCCUAGUGGUUAGAGUGUAGAGGAGGCAGGUAGCCUAGUGGUUAGAGUGUAGAGGAGGCAGGUAGCCUAGUGGUUAGAGUGUAGAGGAGGCAGGUAGCCUAGUGGUUAGAGUGUAGAGGAGGCAGGUAGCCUAGUGGUUAGAGUGUAGAGGAGGCAGGUAGCCUAGUGGUUAGAGUGUAGGGGCGGCAGGUAGCCUAGUGGUUAGAGUUUUGGACUCGUAUCCGAAAGGUUGUAAGAUUGAAUCCCUGAACUGACAAGGUAAAAAUCUGUCGUUCUGCACCUGAACAAGGCAGUUAACCCACUGUUCCUAGGCCGUCAUUGAAAAUAAGAAUUUGUUCUUAACUAGUCAAAUAAAAAUAGGAUCCUGCUAUUUACACAUGCAUCUAUCAAUCCAAUGUUAUCAUGAUUUGUUAUAAGGGAUAUUAUACUUUAGUAAGCCACAAUGACCUGGUGAUAUAAUGUCAAUAUUAGACUUAAAUUCCAUAUUCCUACGGAUACCUUGUAACUGGAGAUUCCUUCAAACCGAUUGCCUACAGUUAACAUGUAGGGCACUGCAAGGUUGGGUGACCAGGGCCAUCUGGGACUGCCUCCUGGAGGAAUUCAGGUGUGUGAAGGCUACCUGUGUCCUGCAUAACGUCAUGAGGAUGGACACGAGGACCAGGAGGAGGGGGGGGGUAUGUGUGCUGGAUUUCUUCACCACAUACUUUUUUGAGGAGGGUGCUGUUCCCUGGCAACACUGUAGACUACACUAUGCACAACCAAAGGCUCUUUUAAGAACCAUUCACAUUGCAGUAAGAGUAUUCUUCCAUUUACUUCGCUAUGUCAACUGCAGUUAUAUCAGUUUGAUCUCCAUCUCUUCAUUCAAAGACUCAAUCAUGGACACUCUUACUGAGUUGUUGCUGCUUUAUGUGAUGUAUUGUUGUCUUUACCUCCUUGACCUUUUGUGCUGUUUGUGCCCAAUAAUGUUUGUACCCUGUGCUCUUGUCAUAUUGUUACUACCAUGUUGUCAUGUUGAGUUGCUACCAUGUUGUCAUGUUGAGUUGCUACCAUGUUGUCAUGUUGAGUUGCUGCCAUGUUGUCAUGUUGAGUUGCUGCCAUGUUGUCAUGUUGAGUUGCUGCCAUGUUGUCAUGUUGUUACUAGCCAGUGUUGUCAUGUUGAGUUGCUACCAUGUUGUCAUGUUGAGUUGCUACCAUGUUGUCAUGUUGUUACUACCAUGUUGUCAUGGUUGAUUGCUGCCAUGUUGUCAUGUUGAGUUGCUGCCAUGUUGUCAUGUUGAGUUGCUACCAUGUUGUCAUGUUGAGUUGCUGCCAUGUUGUCAUGUUGUUACUACCAUGUUGUCAUGUUGAGUUGCUGCCAUGUUGUCAUGUUGAGUUGCUGCCAUGUUGUCAUGUUGUUGCUACCAUGUUGUCAUGUUGUCUCUCUUCAUGAUGUGUGUGUUUUGUCCUAUUUUUAUUUAAUUAAUUUUAAUCCCGCCCCCGCAGGAGACCUUUUGCCUCUUGGUAGUGUUGUGGUGUCUCUCUACCAGGAGGCCUCUUGGUAGUGUUGUGGUGUCUCUCUACAGGAGGCCUCUUGCUAGUGUUGUGGUGUCUCUCUACAGGAGGCCUCUUGGUAGUGUUGUGGUGUCUCUCUACAGGAGGCCUUUUGCCUCUUGGUAGGCCGUCAUCAUAAAUAAUAAUUUGUUAACUGACUUGGCUAGUUAAAUAAAAUAUAAAAUUCCCAGUUUCUCUCUU